GUGAAUUGAAUAUGUUAGCGGACCUCUUCGGAGUCCCUAGCAUCAAAUCAUAUCCAUAACACCUGUGAACUGUAAGGCUGUCUUGAAAACGAAAGUGAUUAGAGCGCCUGCCCAUUUUAUACAAACAUUAAAGUAACAAACGUAGUCCUAUUAUAAUCUAAUA
rnacentral:misc_RNA from 1 species